rnacentral:rRNA from 1 species
CGGGCAUGCCUGUCCGAGCGUCAUUU